CACACAGAGGACAAACACAGGAACUACACAUGUGCUCAAAACUGACUUAUGACUGAAAUCAGAGUGUCAAAUCUAACAAUAAUGGUGCCAUAUGUUGUUUUGUUUUGUACAUUAAACUACACUAAAGUCAUGGUGUAUCAGUAACAUAAAGAUGUUUAUCAAGCAGCUCCUUCAUCUAAAGCUGUUUAUAAAUGUAUUACUCAUAACUCAUUUCUCAUGAGCAGAAGUGAAAGUGUUCCAGUUCAGAGCGUUGAACCAAUCAAAGAGUGAAACUGUGAGUUUGAGGUGAAAAUCACAUUUGCAUUGGCAGGUUUAGUGAUUGUGAUCCUCUCAGAAUAGAGCAGCUCCGUCUCCAGUGACCAUGUUCAAACCCCAAGAGCUUCAUUUGACAUUUACUGCUAAAUGCAGCUGUUCUCAACUAUUACAAUCAAUCAAAAGCAGCUGAAACUUUAGUGCAGGACUUUGAAUGAACGACACACUGAUCAAUGAUGCAGUCGGACACAAAUGUAACGCGUUCAGAAGCUUUAUUGAAUGAACAGCAAUGGCAGCACAUUGAAAGACUGCUUCAGUAUUGAGCUGUAAAUCACGUGACUGCCGUGAAUCCUGCCGGACGCUCAGAUACGGCUCGUCUCGACUGGAGAAACAUCAGCACUCGGAGCUCUUGAGGAACGAGGCCUCGUGAUCAGCUCCGUCAUGUCUUACUCUGCAGACGAA